rnacentral:rRNA from 1 species
UGCGUAGGUGGUGAGGUAAGUCGGAUGUGAAAGCUCGGAGCUCAACUCCGAAAUGGCAUUGGAAACUACCUUGCUAGAGGGUUGGGAGGGGGGACUGGAAUACUUGGUGUAGCAGUGAAAUGCGUAGAUAUCAAGUGGAACACCAGUGGCGAAGGCGAGUCCCUGGACAACUCCUGACACUGAGGCACGAAAGCUAGGGAGCAAACA